rnacentral:rRNA from 1 species
AUUGAACGCUGGCGGCAGGCCUAACACAUGCAAGUCGAGCGGAGCGGCGGACGGGUGCGUAAUGCAUAGGAAUCUGCCUGGUAGUGGGGGAUAACGUCCGGAAACGAGCGCUAAUACCACAUACUAUCAGAGGAGACUAGGUAGGAUUAGCUAGUUGGUGGGGUAAAGGCCUACCAAGGCGACGAUCCGUACCUGAUCGUAGAGGAUGAUCAGUCACACUGGAACUGAGACACGGUCCAGACUCCUACGUGAGGCAGCAGUGGGGAAUAUUGGACAAUGGGCGAAAGCCUGAUCCAGCCAUGCCGCGUGUGUGAAGAAGGUCGUCGGAUUGUAAAGCACUUUAAGUUGGGAGGCGUUACCAACAGAAGAAGCACCGGCUAACUUCGUGCCAGCAGCCGCGGUAAUAC